rnacentral:lncRNA from 1 species
UUCAAUAUCUAGAGUUGAGAACUCUCUAGAAUUAGUGUGUCUAGAGUUCUCCUUAGAGUACAUGUAAUCUUACACUUUUGCAUCAAACAAAAAUACAAAAUUCUCUCUUCCAUAAAUAAUUCUCCUACCUAUCAAAUUCCUUUUCAAGCCUUUAAUAUUCUUAUACACUUUCCCUAAACACAAAAAAAAAAGAUUUAUUUCCAAUAAUUCUCUUGCAAUAAAGUAAAGCAUAAUAAUCAGAUAUUUGAGAAUACCGAAACUUAAGAGAAUUCAAACCCUUGAAACUCACGAAAGGAAUCAAUAUAAUGUGAAGUAACAUAGUUGGCAUCCUUUAGCUCAAAUCCAAAAAUAGAUAAAGAUUUCAAUGUUGGUCUGUGACGGAGAGCCAAAGCAACUGGGAGCAGCCAAACAAGAGGUGAAGGGAAUUAAGGUUGGGGAAUGUAUGGAAGAAAAGAGGGAGAAAACAAAGUUGUCAUAGAGAAUAUGACACGGUUGGUGAUGGCUAGGAAGUGCUUUGAGACGAGAGAUAGAGAUUUAAAAUUACUUUUCUUCUUGUCUUUGGCGUUGAUAAGGAAUGCGAAGACAUGGUUCCAGCAGUCAUCGGGUAAGUAAAACUCAGGUUCUGCAAUUAUGAUUGAAUUCGUACCUGAAAACAAUUGUUGUUGCUGUUGAAAAGAUUUCACACAAAUUCUCUUCUUCUUUCUUAUAGCAACUGAUUUUGAGGAUCUAAUAAAAGUAUUCAUCUUCAUCAUAGCUAGGAGGAACAGAGAUUUCUGAGACAUCAUCUUCUUUCUUUUCAUCUUCGCCAUCUCACGUUCACCGUUCAUGGAAUAUGGAUUCCCUCACUAUUUAAAGACUAAAUAUUAGGUUUUGUAUCCCCUCCCUCUUUUUUAACCCCAAAUAAUAAAUAAAUAAAAUAACCAACUCUCCACCUUUUCAAUCCAAAAAUAAAUAAAUAGCAAGCCACAUAAUUUAAAUAAAUUAAUUUAUUGACAUUUUAAGAAAAC